rnacentral:rRNA from 1 species
AUUGAACGCUGGCGGCAGGCCUAACACCUGCAAAUCGAGCGGAGCGGCGGACGGGUGAGUAAUGCCUAGGAAUCUGCCUGGUAGUGGGGGAUAACGUCCGGAAACGGGCGCUAAUACCGCAUACUAUCAGAUGAGCCUAGGUCGGAGUUGCUAGUUGGUGGGGUAAAGGCCUACCAAGGCGACGAUCCGUAACUGGUCUGAGAGGAUGAUCAGCCACACUGGAAUGGAGACACGGUCCAGACUCCUACGGGAGGCAGCAGUGGGGAAUAUUGCACAAUGGGCGCAAGCCUGAUGCAGCCAUGCCGCGUGUAUGAAGAAGGCCUUCGGGUUGUAAAGUACUUUCAGCGGGGAGGCGUUACCCGCAGAAGAAGCACCGGCUAACUCCGUGCCAGCAGCCGCGGUAAUAC